rnacentral:misc_RNA from 1 species
GAAAUGCGAUAAGUAAUGUGAAUUGCAGAAUUCAGUGAAUCAUCGAAUCUUUGAACGCACCUUGCGCUCCUUGGUAUUCCUUGGAGCAUGCCUGUUUGAGUAUCAUGAAAUCUUCAAAGUAAAUCUUUUGUUAACUCAAUUGGUUUCUACUUUGGUAUUGGAGGUCUUUGCAGCUUCACACCUGCUCCUCUUUGUUCAUUAGCUGGAUCUCAGUGUUAUGCUUGGUUCCACUCGACGUGAUAAGUUAUCUAUCGCUGAGGACACUGUAAAAGGUGGCCAAGGUAAAUGCAGAUGAACCGCUUCUAAUAGUCCAUUGACUUGGACAAUACUUUUAUGAUCUGAUCUCAAAUCAGGUAGGUCUACCCGCUGAACUUAAGC